rnacentral:piRNA from 1 species
AAAAGCCUACUAUGCUCUGAACGCGCAGC